rnacentral:rRNA from 1 species
GACGAACGCUGGCGGCGUGCUUAACACAUGCAAGUCGAACGGAAAGGCCCUGCUUUUGUGGGGUGCUCGAGUGGCGAACGGGUGAGUAACACGUGAGUAACCUGCCCUUGACUUUGGGAUAACUUCAGGAAACUGGGGCUAAUACCGGAUAGGAGCUCCUGCUGCAUGGUGGGGGUUGGAAAGUUUCGGGGGUUGGGGAUGGACUCGGGGCUUAUCAGCUUGUUGGUGGGGUAGUGGCUUACCAAGGCUUGGACGGGUAGCCGGCCUGAGAGGGGGACCGCCCCAUGGGACCUAGGAAAGGACCCGGACUCAACCGGGGGGAAGCGGUGGGAAUUUUUGCCAAAUGGGCGGAGGCUGGAUGCAGAACCGCCGGAUGGGGAAGAACGGCCUUCGGGUGGUAACCCGCUUUCGCUUGUAACGAGCCGUGGUUAAGGUAAAUGGGUAAGAAGGAACGGCUAAAUUCGUG